rnacentral:lncRNA from 1 species
CAAGCACAAACACAAUGGAGAUCAGGCGAUAACUUUUCCAAAAAGAAUAUUGAAGAACCUUUGUGUCCGAGUUGGUACCUUGUAUGCCCCAGUAGACUUCGUAGUGGUAGAGACCGGAAAUGAUGAGAGAGCACCUAUCAUCCUAGGGAGGCCAUUCUUGAACACCACGGGAGCUAUCAACUACGUUAGUGCUGCCAAGAUUAGUUUCUACAUCAAGGGGAAGAAGGAGACUUUCCUUCAAGAACAAGACUACACAAGCUUCAGAGCAAUCCCGACAUAAACCAAGGAAGAGGACCAACAGGAGGAACAGGAACAAGCAAAUGUGGACCGAGUCAGCUAAGAUGGUCACUGCAGCUCAAGGAGGUCAAGAUCGUCGACUCAAGUCACCUUUCUUGAUCAAGAAGGAUGACCCUGGUGUUCCAAGAAUCGAAUGCACAAACAAUGGAUACUCUUUUUAGAAGACACUCUACGACACCGGAUCUGACGACAACAUAAUGGCCGCAGUCACUUAUCAGCUCCUGCAUAGAACCAUGCCCCUACAACCAAGAUACAUUCAGCUUCAAACAACUUUCAGGUCAUUGACAUGGGAGAAGACAAGUAUGAUCCAUCCACCAUCCUUGGAAGACCGUUCCUAAACACUAUCAAAGCCAUUAUCUAUAUUGGAACCGGAGAAGACCACAUGCACUUCCCCUCUGAGAAGGUACGCCACUACUUUAAUGAUUCUAACUAUAUAGUUGAAGAUUCUAAGCAGGUCAGGACAAGAAGAAGACAAACCGCAACCAGAGGAGGCAAUUCAUCAAGGACGGAUGGGUAGACUACAAAGGAGAAGUGAUAAGGACUGAAGACAUACAACUUGAACAGAACUGUCCUGAGGAGACCGUAGCACCGAGUCAGAAAGAGAAGAUAGUUAUACACGAAACGGAGGCGCCACCGGAAUCACCGACUACGUCAUCCAGCGAAUCCCAGGACGACUGAGAAAACGGAGAGUCCCGUUCGGAGGACUUAAAAACACCAAACGCCUUGCCAAGAGGUAAACUUGGUAGUUAUCCUUUCCCUUUUAAUUAUUUCAAAUAGUUUACUUAGUUAAUCAUGUUCGUAUUAUUCUAGAAAGAAAAUAAAAUUGUGAAAAAAACUAUAAGCCCCAUGUGAGUAGACGAGUGGCAUAAAACCCAUAAGUACAUUCACUAUGGUGGCAUAAAAAUAAAAUAAAUAUUUUUCUGCUUUAUAAAAACAAAAAUAUAAAAACAGGGAGUAAUAUUUAUUAAGGAGUCUCAACAUGAUAAAGGCUAGAUAUUUAUGCUAACACUUAAUCAGUUCCACAAGCUUUGUUGUCUAUUUGAGCUCCACAGAAUUUAAGAUUCAAGAAGACUAGCAGACGGAGGACAUUCUAAUCGCUGUCAAAAUACUGCUGACUUUCAAACACACCUCUGCCACCUGCUAGCUACAUCAAGAGAAAUUACGUCAAAAUUCAGUUUGGGGGAGAGCACCCCCAUUUAUCUCGAUAAGUAUUUCUAUCUAUCUAUCUUUAUACUUAUAUUAUAUUAGAAUAUUAAAAUACAUAAACUAUGAAAAACCAAAUAAAGAUUUCAUGCUUAUUUGUCUUUUGCUUAGUGUGUUUAAUAAAUAAAUAAAGUGGCUAUGCUGAUCUGUAUCUAAAUAAAACUUAAGCAUGGAUAUGAUGAAUAGUUGCUCUGCCUAAUUUGCACAUUUUAAGUUCUCUCUCAAGUUUAGACAUAACUGUUAUAAUUUAAAGCUUGCUCUAGACCUAAACUUGUGGGAUGAAAACUUGAUCUGAAGUUUAAGUUGUUAACAGAUACGAUAUGGGAAGGUUGAGCUGCUGUUUAUCUGUUCCUAGAGAUGCUAGAAUUCUGGAGAAUUUUAUCUUUGAAAAUCUUUAAAAUAUUGCAUGAUGAGUUCCUGUAUGAUGAGAGUUUAAAUUCCUACCACAGCCAUAUAUACAUGCUUGCUAGACUUUGAGCCACACAUUUACUAUUUACUGCUUAUGAGCAUUGAGUGUAGUCAAGCUGUGUAGACCCUUAGGAACUUGUCAUGUGGUUAAAUCAAGAUUUCACUUGCACGUUCACUCAUAUAUGCUACUUCUACUCCGGAAGUACCAUCCACAUAUAUUCACCCAUUCCAUCUCCAGAAUCAACCAAAAAUAUUCUACUCCUAAUCCGGGAGAGAAUAACCAAAAAUAUUUCGAUUUCCCUUUGUGAAAUAAAUGCUCAAGUUAUCUUGUUACUACCACUUGCUAUAUUAUCUCAAGAGAUGAGUGCUCUAGUAAAAAAAAAGAGAGAAAAAAAAUAAUAAAUACGAGGAAAUAAAAGGGAGCAAGUGCUCGGAACCUCGAAAGAAAAAGAAAAAGUGAGACGAGAGGUAAAAAUGGACAAGUGUCCGACAGUAGAUUUAGGGGUGCAAGAUACCCACCUGAGAGAAAAGAAAAAGAAGAGCAUCUCAUUCUCCUCAUAAAGUUUCAAAAGCAAGGAAGGUAUGUAUCCCCUCAAAGAGCAAAAGUAGAAUUAGACUUCCACCACCAUUGUUUUCACCAUUGUUAUCACCAUCAUCACCAUACACCAUUCAUUCGCCACACAUGCACAUCUUGAUUUGGCUUAUUGAUUUGUUUCUUUGGAUCCAUGGUUUGACUAUGCAAUAAAUGUCUUGUAAGUAUGUACAUUUUAUCUCCCACCUAUGAGCUCCAGAUAUUAAAGCCUUAUUAGAGUAGGGUGAGAGAGAAGACAAUGUCACUAUGCUUCAUACCACAAAUACUACAUAUCUUGAGAGAAGGCAUAUACCAUCACUGCCUUGGUAAGGAUCCAAAAAUACCACAAAAGAGAGACCUGAGAGAAUCAUACAAGGAAUUUCUGAGUUUUAUUUGAAAAUCUGCAAAAAACCCCAGAGCUAUAGCUGAUCAAGAAUAAAAGACAUGGCACUUGGCUAGACUGUUCUAUCUUUGAACCACUCAAGACAGAAGUGACGGUUACAAGUCCUAUGGUGUAGGUAAAGUAAGUAAGUUUUAAGUCUUAACAGUUUAUUCUAACUCAGAGAUGAGAUCUUGCUUAAAUGCGUGUGUACUUCUAAGAAAUGAAACCACUGCAGAAACUCUUGAGUUCAUCCUUGCUCAGGGACGAGCAAGAGGUAAGCUUGGGGGAGUUUGUUGACGGUCCUUAAGUAUCAAAUUUAAUUAUCAAAUAAACAAAGAAAAGGAUCCAAAUGAAAUCAACAUCUAGACUUAGGGUUUUAUCUGAUAGAAUUCCACGAGUUUUGGUGUUUGUCUAUUUCUGCAGGGGGUUAUCAGGAAAUAAGGAAGAAAGGCCCACAUGUCGGGAUUACAUAGAGAUAUCAACCCACCGCGCAAUUUUCUACCAUCUAGAAGACUCCAGAAGCCACGGGAAGGAAGCGGAGCCCGAAAGGGGCCAGGCCCAGGGCGCCCGCCCUGAGGACCUAAGCGCCCGCCCACCUCUGGACCCCGUUCUGGACUCUCUUCGCACACGACGUUCCACCGACCUAUUGGAUCCAGAAUAACAUAGUACCACCUCACCUAUCGACCCAAAAACGCAUAGAAGGGGAGGACUAUAUAAGGAGACCCCCUUUGGCCCCUGGAGGAGACAAGAAAUUAUCAUAGAGAUUGAGGGGUGCCCUCGAAGGAAAACCUCUUCUCUAAAUAAUAUUUCUUUUUAGGCUUAGCAACCAAUGUAAAGUAGAAAUAGAUCUUCUAGUUUCUACUAGAUUGAGAGAGAUAGAGUGGAGGUGUAGAUCAGAGGAAGGCCGGCCUGUCGGUGUCUACUCCGAGUUGUACCUACGGGAUCAACUCUCCUAACCCGAGGCUUGCUUCUAAGAUUCUUCAGUAAUUCGACUUCUAAUACUAGUAAGUUCUUGUUUUAUUGUUCUUUGGUUUAUGAGUUUACUUUAAUCCUCUUCCGGUUGAGUAUUAGAGUAAUCACUUGUUAGCGUAAACGUGGUGUUUAGGCUAGGGUACUCAUAGAUAUCCCCUGACUAGCUGGACCGUGGUAGUAGCGAGGAACGUGACAUUUCUGAGUUACCUUUGCAGAUCACAUCUCGUUAGCAGGACGGGUAGGUUUAUAGGUGCGGGUCGAACAUCCUUUGUGUUGUCUAGAUUCCGUGAGCCUCCCCAAUAGAACAGUAGAUCAUCCUUACCAAGGUUAGAACGAGACUAAGGUUGUAGUCUUCUCUAUACAUCACUCACAUCGAGAGACAUUCUUUGUAGCCUAAAGGGAUAGUAGCAAUAGAUUUGGUUAGUCAGAUGCACCCUUUCUCCCAGUGGUAAAAAUAUAAAUAUGAUAACUCUGGAUAAUCUCCCGGGUGAAAUGCUCACCGAUAUCCGUGCGCUUGCGGAUCAUUUCCUCAUUGCGUUACCAAAUAUCAACAACAUAUCAGAUUGUCCUCACCAUGGAAUGGCCACAUGGUUGCUUAUGCUGACCUUCUACCAUGGAUUAACCCAGAAGGCUCGUGAGUGCCUAGAUGCAUCUACUAAAGGAUCAUUCUUGGAGCUUACAAUUAGAAAAGCAGAGAUACUUUUGGAUAAGAUAGCAGAAAACCAAAGCUGGUUCCAAGAUAAAGCUCAACAAUGUCAUCAAACUGAAGAAAUACCAGAAGAAGUAAAUGCAUUAUCAACUAAGAUGGAAAAUUUGCUCCAUUGGAUUGACCAGAGGGCCAAGUUCAAAGAAGAUCAAAGGGCCAUUGAGACAGCAUACAAAUAUCAACCAACUUCGAGUCAACCCAAUAGCAAACGUAUGAAUUCAGGAAAUACUUUCAAGCAACUUUCAUUAAAAGAGAUAAUUGCUCAACAAACCAAAAUUAAUGAUGAAGUUAAACAAAGGCUAGAUACAAAUGAAUCAUCUCUAAAAGAUAUACACAAUAAAAUGGAUUUUCUACUAACUGCCUUUGAUGAGCAAAACACUCUUAAUAAAAGGGUAGAGCUUAAAUUGAUAAAGAUAGCUGCUGCACUGCCUGUUGCUACUAACCUUGAGCAGGUCAAGAAUAUAACUACUAGAGGAGGCAAAGCUACCAGAGAUCCCCCAUACCCAAAAGAGAAACAAAGAACAUCAGCACCAGUGCAACCAGCAGUGAUAGAAGAAGAAAGCCUAGUUGAAGCAGAAGAUCUGCUCCAACCACCAAGAACUGGAGAAAUGUGGAAAGAUUUUUACGACACCAACUAUUUGCCAUUUCCCAGAAGAAAUAGAGGACUGCAGUCGGAUGAGCAGUUUGGUAAGUUUGUAGAGGUCAUUCAGAAAUUAUAUGUCAACAUACCUCUGCUCGAUGCCAUACAGGUACCUACAUAUGCAAAGUACAUCAGAGAUAUUCUUAACAAGAAGAGACCACUGCCCACCACUGAGGUUAUCAAGCUGACAGAAGAAUGUAGUGCGGCCAUCCUCAACAAACCACCAAAGAAGAAGGAAGAUCCAGGAUGUCCCACUAUUGACUGCUCGAUCGGAAACCAACACUUCAAUAAUGCACUUUGUGAUCUCGGAGCAAGUGUCAGUGUGAUGCCAGUAUCAGUCUACAAAAGGCUUGAGCAUGCGACCCUAGAACCAACAUCAAUGUGACUACAAUUAGCGGAUCAAUCGGUUCGACACCAUCUGGGCAUCGCCGAGAACAUUCCAGUCAAGAUCAGAGAUUUCCUUGUGCCAGUAGACUUCGUAGUAUUGGACAUGAGUCCUGACUCAAAAGUGUCCAUCAUCCUUGGAAGGCCAUUUCUGAGCACUGCCAAUGCCCACAUUGAUGUCGGGAAAGGAGAAAUCAAGUUCAACAUAAACGGUCAAGAAGAACACUUCACAUUCAAACCCAAACUAGAGAGAGACUCUACAGUGAAGGAAGUUCAUGAAGAACCAUUGGAGACACCAUCUCCGGAGGAAGGUAACUCAGAAGAUUAAAAGAUUUGGAGGUCCAGCUUGGGGGACCUAAAAAUCCCAAACCCUCACCGGGAGAUAAAUCGGUAUUUAUCUGCAUUAUUAAUUUUAUCAUGUUUAAAUUCUUGCAUAAUUAAUUCUUGCAUUAGUCAUAGCAUAAUUAUAAUAAUCAAAAAGCCCCAUAUAAAUAAUAUUCGUGGUGUGUAACAACCCAUAUUUAUUAAUUAUUGUGGAGGCACAAAAAAUAUUUUCCAUUAUCAUUAUCAUUAAGUUUCAAUUCUCAUAGAUUUUCCUGCAUUAUAUUUAGUUAUAUUAAUCUUCUAGAAGCACGACCCACACUCCUUGGGUCCCACAUGCCAUACACUUCACCUCACAUACAUCCCAUCACAUAAUUUCAUCCACCAAUAUGUUUCCACUCACCAGACAUCUUUCCACCAUCCAACAACCACCACACAACAUUAUUCUGCGUGAGAUCAAAGCAAGGAAGCAAGUGGAGAAGGCACACCCAGGAUGGACACCAGGAGUGGGCGCCCGCCCACCUACCAAGGGCGCCCGCCCUGUCCCCUCUUGCUCCUAUAAAUAGCCACAUUCUACCUCCAUCUUCUUCACACAAACACUCCAGAAAACCACACAAGUUUCAGUUUCCCGAGAAGGAGCACUUGUAGUGAAGAGAAGAGAGUAGAGAGAAAGAGGAGAGUGGAAGAGAAGGUUGGGAGUUCUUUCGAGAGAGUGAUUAUCACCUAGCAAGUAGUGAUCCUGUUGUCUAAGCGGAAGUAAAAGUUGUUUAGGGGGGAGGCCCUACCAAAAUAGAAACUUGUCUUGAACGAUUAACCCCUGGACUACUGACAUUCCGGACAGCUGACCACUAACAUUUUCUCUCACAUUUUCCACUAGUUGUGUUUUUGCCAACUUUUCUUUGCAGAAUGUUUAAGAAGGUGAAGAAUGCAGGAAAGGCUCUCAAGAACAUUGGUACAAGGAGUUCAGCCCGACACUCCUCACAGCCAUCAGAGAUGAGCGUCGACCCGACACCCACACAAGCUCCAUCAUCUUCAUCAGGUCAGCAAGUUAAGGUCCUUCUUAAGAUAGGAGACCUUGGACUGAAGACCCAAAGAGAGAAAGAAGUCUAUCAACAACUGAAGAACAAAGAUUUUAUUCACACCCCUACUAUCGAUCCAAUCUUACUACAAGAAACAGGUAUGGACACUGAAUUUGACUUAAUUUUAUAGAUGUUAGGUUGGACAAAUUUUUGGAAUAUAACUGAGCUGGGUUCUCGUCUUCUCACCCUCGAAUUUCUUUGCACUUUACAAUACUAUGAGGGGGGAAUUGUUUUUCGGAUGUUCAAACAGGAAAUUAUGUUGUCUUGGAGAGAGCUGAGCGACCAUCUUGGUUUCUCUUCAAGAUGCAUCCUGAACAUUGACUCCGAUUUACCCAAUUUUGAGAGACACCAAUUUUGGAGAGAAAUAUCUAGAGAUAAUUUUUAUAGUCAAGCCCGAACCAGUGACAUGGAACACCCUACUCUUAGGAUGUUCCACAAAUGGCUUGGGUACAAUCUUUUCUAUCGUGAUGAUAUUAGGAAAGUAAGAGUAGGAGAUUUACAACUUUUAUAUGCUGCUAUUAAUAAAGUACCCACUUCACCUAUUACACUUUUAGUUUCACAUUGGCUUAGUGUACCUAGUCUGCAGGGACCAGUAGGAUGUACUUCACUUAUCACUCAUUUAGCCUCUAAUCUUCAUUUACUAGAAAACUCAUCGUUGGAUUUCAUAGAGGAGUUAAGAAUUUAUCAUGGCUAUGACACAUUUAGACAAGCUCAGAUGUUAAAGAAAGAGGGGAAUGUAAUGUAUAUGCUAUAUGAUGAUAAAGGCAAGAUUCGGUUACCUAACCCGAACCUUGGCCUAUACGUUGUGCAAAAUCUUUUGAUUGAGAUUGCAGCAACACUAGUGAACCAGAGAGCUCCACAGCGAGUGGCAUCUGAAAGGGUGACCACUCACCGAGAACGCACCUGGUAUGGAGCUGACCCUGGACCAGAAGAAGCAGCGCACCUGCAUUAUUGCAAUUACAACCCCCGAGUCCUUCGAGACCCAUGGGUUCGUCAUGCGCAACCACAAGAGCCAACAGAGGAGACAUAGCCGGAGAGCCAAGAUCACCGGUGGACAAACCCGCCUUUCCAUACGGGCAGGUACUCCACUGAUCCAUAUGGAGCUUCAGGAUCCAGACCUCCGCCCCAAUUUGAUGCAGGACGAUACUCCGAUGCCUCCUACGCUUUCACGAAUAACUACUCUCAAGAGGCCGGUGCUUUCUUCACUCGUACCGACAACACCCUCCUCGACAUCCAGAACACGCAAGCAGAACAUGGAAGACUCCUGGAAGAGCAACAAAAAUGGAACCAGGACCAUGCUGCUGCAGUACAAGAGCUGAGACAAGAUACAACAACAAUGAAUGACAACAUCACAACUAUGAUGCGGUUCUGGAACAUCGGGUAAGACCGACGUCAACAUCCAGCUUGGGGGAGUUCCUCCCUAAUUUAUCAAGUAAGUUUUUAUUUGCUCUUCUUAUUUAUUCUUUUCUAUUUUAGUAUUUUAUCUUAAAAAGGAAAAACUUAGAAAACCCAAUAAAUAUUUUCUUGCUUUAAAUUACUGCAUUUUAUAAACAUGAAAACAAAAUAAAAAGAGUGUGUAGAUAAGUGUGCUUUAUUUAUCUGUUAAGAGUUAAUCUCUAGAAAAAAUAAAAAGACCAAAAAGAUGCAUUAUGGAAAUGAUGAAUAGUUGCUCUGUUUGCUUACUUUCAAGUACCUAGCUUUUAUAUUAGAGUUCUUCCAGGAAUUACUAAAACUGAAACUUACUAUCUUUGGGAAGCAUAAAACUAAUGUCUAGGUAAGCGAAAGGCAUGAUUUAAAGUUGAGCUACUGUUUAUCUUGUUCCUACUACACUAAGUUCUGGAGAUUUAUUUUGAAAACUUACAAAUCACAUGAUGAGAUUCCUAGCAUUACAAACUACCUACCACAACCAUACUUGCUAUAACAUCUUUUACUACACUUACAUUGAGUUUGAUUGAGCUGUGUAGACCCUUAGGAGCUUUUCAUGUGGUUAAAUUAAGAUAUUCACUUGCACACAUCUACUAUACCAUUCAUCAUCAUUCAUUAAAAUUGCUAAAAAUAUUAUCACUCACUGUCCCGAAUAUUGUUAUUCUCUCUCUAAAAAGAUUCAAUGCAGAAGAGGCAUGGGUUAUGCAAAAAUAUGCGAGGAAAUAAAAAGUGGCAAGUGCCUGGAACCUCGAAGAAAAAAAAAGAAGAAAGAAAAAGAGUGAGACGAGAGGUAAAAAUGGACAAGUGUCCAAAGUAGAAUUAGGGGUACAAAGAUACCCACUUGAGCGGAAAAAAUGGACAAGUGUCCGACAGUAGAAUUAGGGGUAUCUACUACCCACCUGAAAAAAAAGAGAUAGCCCAUGUUCUCCCAAAGCAAAGAUCAGAGAAGAGGAGAGAUAGCAAUAUGAGGAGCAAUGAGAAGUAAGUUUCAUUAUCACUUAUACAUUUUUAUCAUCACUAUCAUUUACUCCACCACACAUGCACAUCUUGAUUUAAUUAUAUGCUGAGUUCCUUUUGGAUCCAUAGCUUGAUUAGACAACAUAUGUAUGAGCUGUUUUUUUCACUCCUAUGAGCUCCACUUAAAUAUUCCAUUAGCUAUAGGUAAGUGACAUUAUGGUAAGGAUCCACAAAUACCACAUAUAGAGAGACUUGAGAGAAUCAUUGCUGGGAACUCUGAGUUUUAUUUUGAAAACUUAUGAAAAAUUCUAGAACAAAGGUGAAGUAUAAACAGGAGGAAUAGUGUUUGACUUAACUAUUUUGUCUUUCGAUUACUUAAGAUUUAAGUGCAGGUACUAAACUCCAUAACACUUCACUCUAAUCUGGAAGAAUUUUAUGCAAAAGCAUGUGUGACUGUCAGGAAAGAAAACAUCGAAGCAACUUCUGAUCCGUUUAAGUUUAGCUUUUUGCUCAGGGACGAGCAAAGGGUAAGCUUGGGGGAGUUUGUUGACGGUCCUUAAGUACUAAAAUUAAUAAUCAAAUAAACAUGGAAAAGGAUCAAUAUGAAAUAAACAUCUAGAAAUAGGGUUUUAUCUGACCGAAUUCCACGAGCUUUGGUGUUUAUCUAUUUCUGCAGAGGGUUAUCAGAGAAUAUGGAGAGAAGGCCCACAUGUCAUGUUUACAACGAGAUAAUUACGUGCCGCGCAAUUUUCCUCAAUCUAGAAGGGUCCAGAAGCCACGGGAACGAACGAGAGCACGAUCGGGCUCGGGGGCAGGGCGGCCGCCCAACCCCCCUUGGGCGCCCGCCCAGGGUUGGAGACCAAUCGGGACUCUGCUUCAGGACUACACUCCACCGACCUAAAGGAUCAAUCUAAACCAUACAAUCUAUGUCGGUUUGAUCCAAUGGCUCACGUUCACUUGAGGGGACUAUAAAACCAAGGCCAAACCCCCCCUGGAAGGAGGAGAAGAGAAGAAAUCAUUAUUCAGAGGUAGCCAUCAAAGUUAGGGUUUAGAGCUUCUCUCCCACAGAGAAUUAGAAUUAGCUACUCCCUAAUCCUUCAAGUUUAGAGGUUUGAUUAGAUAGCAAUUAGAGAAGUAGAGCACUACGCUCUGGAUUCGGAUCUUCGGUAAUAAAGAUUGGUAUUAUUCAUAUCUUUCUCUAAUUCUUUGUUCUAAUUGCAUUAUGUCUCUAAUUAUUAUGUUCUUAGUUUCUUCUAGUUCUAUAUUUGAUAUAGUUCUAAUUGAUAAUGAGUUUAUGUAUAAGUUUGCAAAGCGCUUAGCUCUUGACGCGAGGGAGUUAGGUGAUAGAUCACAUAUGAGCGUGGUGCUUAGAUGUUAUUUAUCUGCAAAUGUAUCCUAUUGGCCGGGUCGUGUGGUAGUUCGCGAUAGUGACAGCUUCGUUGAUUCUUAUAUUGUCCACCCUCCGUUGAUAGGACAGGCAGAACCGGUAUUGUGGAGUAAGUCAUGCGAUGCUCUGAUUUACUUUAUCAAUGUUCCUUAUACAUGAAUGAAGAGUCUUUUAUGCUAUAUAUGAUCUUGUAGAUAACUAGAGUAGAUUAUGACUUAGUAGUUAGUAGAUAACUUAGAAUCCAUUCUCUAGCUAAUCCAACAUCACCUACAUAUAUGAGUAGUCUAUUUUCUAAUCGCUGUGUUAUCUACCCAUGAACUUAUACUUUAUUAUCAUUAUCUUUAUGGUUUACCCCCUGCUAAAGUAAGUGACUGUGUGACGAGUUUCUCAUUAGUAAUCAUGUUCUUACAAGUUUAUCUCUAGUCUAUGCCUUGAUAGAUUUUGCCCCCUUAUUUUAAUUUCAUCCCUCGAGCAAAAUUAUAAAUAACGAUACCUGGAAUACUUAUCCUGGUGAAAUGCUACAAUGAGGUGUUUUAUCUGUGCGCUUGCGGAUAGAAUAGAUUAUUUUCUAGAAGAGCCUUUACAUUUAUAAAUACCUUUGUACACUCUGGUACCAUGCUGGGGAUGACAACCUAGUAUCUAAGUGGUGUUAGCUAGUGUCAAUAAUGGACAGGGCAGUUUGUCUUUCCACAAGUGCCUCACCAGAAGCAUCAAGAUAUGGGGUUUCAGCAGGGACCAGUGCAACCUAGAUUUCAGAAUCAAGGGUUGAUCAACCACCCAAUGAAUCUGGGUCAGCAAGUUGGUGGUCAGUAGGCAAUGGUUAAUCCAAUAUUCCCUGGAGAUCGUGCACCACAAAGACAUGUAGAAGCUUAUCAGCAGGUGCCAGAUCCGCAAUCACCCCAUCGGCAAGAUGCCGAUGCUUAUUGGGCCGAUAAGAUAGCUGAGGUGAUGAGAGACCAAUUUGGGAUAAAACCCAGAGUCAACACUUAUUCUUAUCGGACACCAUAUCCUCCUGCGUAUGACUUAAUUCCACUUCCAAAUCGGUACAAGGUACCAGAUUUCACCAAGUUUUCUGGGCAGGAUGAUACAUCGGCUAUGGAGCAUGUUAACAGGUUCAUCAUCUAGUGUGGAGAAGCUGCUAACAGAGAUGAGUUAAGGGUUCGCUUGUUCUCAUCAUCUUUGUGUGGAUCGGCCUUUACUUGGUUUAUUUCAUUACCUCCUAACUCAGUGAUCACUUGGGUCGAUCUAGAGAAACAAUUCCAUAAAUACUUCUUUUCUAGAGUUCAUGAGAAGAUUACUGAUUUAGUCAGGCUAAAGCAACGCAAUGAUGAAUCGGUUGAAACCUUUGUGCAAAGGUUGCGAGAGGUUAAGAAUAAGUGCUAUAGUCUGGUUCUGGACGAUCGACAGCUAGCCGAUUUGGCUUUCUAGGGAUUGUUGCCACAUAUCAGAGACAAGUAUGCUUCUCAAGAGUUCGAAAGUAUGAGUCAUUUAGUGCAGAGGAUUUCUGACCAAGAUAUCAAACCUUUUGAACCUAAGAGAACAUGGAAUAAAAAGGUGUCAUUUGUCGAUGAAGCAACAAGUUCAGAUUCUGAUGAAGAACCAGUCAUCGGCUUAGCAGAGUGGGUGAAAAACAAGGAGCCGAUGUCUUGCCCUUUUGGGCAUAGAGAGCCACAAAAGUUUGCAUUUGAUAUCACCAAAGCCGAUAGGAUAUUUGACUUUCUACUUCAAGAAGGGCAAAUUAAGUUGUCACCCAAUCAUGUGAUUCCAUCGUCAGAGAAAUUAAAGAAGAUGAAAUACUGCAAGUGGCAUAAUGCAACAUCUCACAGCACAAAUGAGUGCAAGGUUUUCAGGCAACAACUGCAAUCGGCUAUAGAAUCUGGGAGAAUUAAGUUUGAUAAUUCCAAAGCUCAGAAGCUGAUGAAGAUCGAUCAACAUCCUUUCCCUACAAAUAUGUUGGAUGCUAAGGGAAAAACCAAGGUCUUAACGUCAGAGGCACCUGAAAGAAGUGCAUCGGUAGAUCCUCAGCACCAGAUUACUGCUGAUGAUGCCAAAGGCAAUGGAUUGAUCCAGGAAGGGACCAGCUCAGGAAUACCUCCCCGAUCUCGCAUUGUGAUAACUCAUAGAAGGCAUCAGGAGACCUGGCAGCAACGUGAAGAUCGGUAUCGGCGCUAGCAGGAGGAUCGUCGUAGAGAAGAAGAAAGGCGCCGACAAGAGUGGAAUCGGCAUAAAGAUCACUGGAAUUGUCUGUUUUUCAUCCAAUGUUGGGAACAAAAUAUCAAGCUACCAACUGUUAGAGACUGCCCUGAAUGCAAAGGCUAUGAUUGGUAUGAUAGACCAAAUCGGCAGUAUCAGAACAAUGAUCGGCGUUUUGAUGGGCUGAUUAGGGGAAGAGCCUCGGUUCAUGAUCAGCUUGGGGGCAGGCUCAGUGUGCAUGACAGGCUUGGUGACCGUGUCAUGUACUUUCCCUGAACCCAAGAGGAGAUUGAGGAGAUGGCAGAUGCACGGGUUCCCGAUGAGUUCAUAUUUUGCAGAGAUGCUAACACUCAUCUAAUGGAGUCAAGGGAAAAUCGCUGCCAAUCGGUAAGGCAGCCACAACUUCCUCCAUGGUGUCCAGAGGGGCUGACUAAGACACAGAAAAGAAGGCUGCAGCGUGAAAGACGAGAAGAGUUGAGUAAAGGAGAGAAUUCUGCUAAGUUUGAAGAUCAGCAGCAGCUAGAUCCUAAAGGAAAAGGGCCAUUGGCAGAUGUUAAUAUGGUGUUUAUGUUGCCGAUGGAGUUCCUUGCGCCAUCCAGUGAUAAUGAGGAGGAGGAUUUCUCCGACCAAAUAGCUCAGUUAGCUCUGGAUCCGAUGACAGCUAUCUUUGAGAAGCCUACCGACAAUGAAAGACAGCAUCUUAAAGCUCUAUUUGUCAAAGGUAGGGCUGAUGGAUAGCCGAUGACCAAAAUACUUGUUGAUGGUGGGGCUGCUAUCAAUAUUAUGCCGUAUGCAGUCUAUCGGAAACUUGGGAAAGGAGAUCAAGACAUAACCAAGACCGAUAUGAUGUUGAAAGAUAAGGAGCCAAAUGUGUCGAGUUGACUAUCAGUAACAAAACAUUACCGACAACUUUCUUUGUCAUCAGUGGAAAGGGUGCUUAUAAUAUGUUGUUGGGGAGAGAUUGGAUCCAUGCCAAUUGUUGCAUCCCGUCUACAAUGCACCAAUGUUUGGUUCAGUGGGUAGGUGACAAGAUUGAAAUUGUCUCGGGAGAUUCUUCUUAUGUCAUCGCAUCGGCGGAAGCAGAUACUUAUGAAAGGACUAGAUGCAUUUCAGGGGAGAUUUGGGAAAAGGAUUUUCUCAAAGUUGCCGAUUAUGAAAUUCCACUAAUCCAAGCAGUCGGUUCUGAUGAGGAGUUUUAAUGGAUAGGUUCGCCGAUGAUGGAAAAUUAGGACAGGGGUUUACGUCGGCCGAUGAUUUAGUAGAAGUAGAUAUAGGUAAUGGUGAUAGACCUAGGCCUACAUUUAUUAGUGCUAAGUUAGAUUCUGAGUGUAAGCAACAGUUAACCGAUUUGUUAAGGGAAUAUAAAGAUUGCUUUGCUUUGGUUUAUACCGAGAUGCCUGGUUUAGACCGAUCUAUUGUCGAACAUCGGUUACCUAUCAAAUCUGGAUUUCGGCCACAUCAGCAGCCAGCUCGCCGAUGUAAUCCUAAUAUUCUUCCUGAUAUUAAGGCCAAAAUAAUUAAACUUAUUGAGGCUAAAUUUAUUCGGCAGUGUCGGUAUGCCGAGUGGAUUUCCAAUGUUGUUCCAGUUUACAAGAAGAAUGGGAAUCUUAACAAGGCUACACCGAUGGAUGGCUAUCCAAUGCCAGUUGCCGAUUUGCUAGUUGAUGCUGCAGCUGGACAUCGGGUUAUUAGCUUUAUGGAUGGAAAUGCAGGAUAUAAUCAGAUAUUCAUGGCUGAAGAAGAUAUUCCAAAGACCGCAUUUAGAUGUCCUGGUCAUGUUGGAUUGUUUGAAUUGAUAGUCAUGACCUUUGGCUUGAAAAAUGUUGUGCUACUUAUCAGAGGGCUAUGAAUUUUAUCUUUCAUGAGUUCAUCAGUAAACUGGUUGAAAUUUACAUUGAUGAUGUGGUGGUUAAGUUUGGGGAUUUCACAAAGCAUCUUGCCGAUCUGCGAAAGGUGUUGGAGUGCACUAGAAAACAUGGUUUGAAGAUGAAUCCUAAUAAGUGUGCAUUUGGUGUAUCGGCAGGGCAAUUUCUUGGUUUUAUGGUGCAUCAGAGAGGAAUUGAAAUUAGUAGGAGAUCUAUUGAUGCCAUCAACAAAAUAGUUGCUCCUACCGACAAGACUGAACUCCAGUCUCUGAUCGGCAAGAUAAAUUUUAUUAGGCGGUUUAUAUCUAAUUUGUCUGGUAAAAUUUGUACUUUUAGUCCUUUACUUAAAUUGAGAGCCGAUCAAGAGUUUGUGUGGGGAAAAGAGCAACAAUCAGCCUUGGAUGAAAUCAAGAAUUAUUUAACAAAUCCUCCAGUUCUGAUUCCACCUUAGCAGGGAAAGCCUUUCAAAUUAUAUUUGUCUACCGAUGGGAUGGUCAUCGGUUCGGCUUUGGUUCAAGAAUUUGUAGGGAAGGAGCGUGUGAUUUAUUAUUUAAGUAGAAGACUGAUUGAUGCUGAGGCCAAGUAUUCGGCAAUUGAAAAGUUAUGUUUGUCCUUAUACUUCUCAUGUGUUAAGUUGAGACAUUAUUUGCUAUCGGCCGAAUGCACUGUUAUAUGCAAAGAUUAUGUAGUCCGAUACAUGCUAUCUAUGCUGAUUACGAGUGGUAGAAUCGACAAAUGGAUUUUGGCGCUGUCGGAAUUUGAUCUACGUUAUGAAUCGGCUAAGGCAGUUAAAGGGCAGAUUAUGGCCGAUUUUGUGACUCAACAUUGUGGUGUAGUGGGGACUUUGGAAAUUGUUCCUUGGACGCACUUCUUUGAUGGAUCUACGUGUGACCGGGGGGCAGGAAUUGGUAUAGUAUUAGUUUCUCCUCAGGGAAAGAAGUAUGAGUUCUCUUUGCCAAUUGUUGCCACGUCAACAAAUAAUCAAGCUGAAUAUCAAGCUUUGAUCAAAGGGUUGAAAUUGUUAAAAGAGGUUCAUGCUGAUGCUGUUGAAAUCUUCGGUGAUUCUAUGCUUGUUAUAAAUCAAUUUGCUGGAAUUUAUGAAUGCCGAAGCGAAGUCUUGAUAACCUAUUAUGAAAAGAGUAUGUAGCUAUUGAAGGAAUUCAAGGAUUUCCGAUUAGAGCAUGUUCCUCGAUUACAUAAUGAGGAGGCUAAUCGGUUGGCUCAGCAUGCCUCGGGAUAUCAAGCCAUAUUAAACACGUUAUCGGCAAUCGGUGCUGAUGAUUGGAGAAAGAAGAUCAUUGAUUAUUUAAAAGAUCCAUCUAAAAAGGUUGAGAGGCGUGUCAGGUUUCAAGCUACCAAGUAUGUGCUCCUUGGGGAUGAGCUAUAUUAUCGAACAAUAGAUGGGCUUCUUCUCAAGUGCUUAGGUGAUGAUGAGGCUAAAAGUUUGAUGGGUGAAAUCCAUGAAGGAGUAUGUGGAGCGCAUCAGUCAGCUUUUAAGAUGAAAUGGAUGAUUAGGGAAACGGGUAUUAUUGGCCGAAUAUACUCGAGAAUUGCUUUAAAUAUUUCAAACGAUGUCAGAAAUUUGGCAAUAUUCAAAGGGCACCCGCGUGGGCUAUGAAUCCCAUUAUUAAGUCUUGGCCGUUCUGGGGAUGGGCUAUUGAUCUAAUCGGCCAGAUUUACCCACCAUCAAGCAAAGGGCAUAAGUUCAUCUUAGUUGCCACUGAUUAUUUUACUAAGUGGGUUGAAGCUAUUCCUUUAAAGAAAGUAACAUCGGCUAAUAUGAUUGACUUUGUGAAAGAGCAUAUUGUUUACCAAUUUGGUAUUCCUCAAACAAUCACUACUGAUCAGGGUACUAUGUUCACAUCAGGAGAGUUUGAUGAAUUUGUGAUCGGUAUGGGAAUUAAAGUGUUGAAUUCUUCUCCUUAUUAUGCUCAAGCUAAUGGGCAGGCGGAAGCAUCUAACAAAGGAAUUAUUAAGCUUAUCAAACGAAAGAUUGAAGAACAUCCUAGGACGUGGCAUACAUUAUUGAAUGAAGCCUUAUGGUCAUAUCGGAUGGCAUGUCAUGGGUCGACCAAAGUCUCACCUUAUCAGUUGGUGUAUGGGCACGAUGCAGUACUACCAUGGGAAAUUAAGACCGGAUCUAGGCGACUAUCUUUUCAAGACCAGUUGACUGCCGAUGACUAUGCUACUUAAUAAAAGAUGAGUUAGAUGAUUUAGCAGGACAUCGGCUGAGAGCUUUGAUAAGUGUAUAGGAAAACAAAAAGAGAGUUGCUAGGUGGUAUGAUAAAAGGGUAAAAGCUAAGGAGUUUGCCGAUGGAGAUUUGGUGUGGAAAUUAAUUUUACCGAUAAGGACUAAAAGUUCAAAGUUUGGAAAAUGGUCUCCUAAUUGGGAAGGUCCUUAUCUGAUAAAUCGGUCUGCUCCUGGUAACGCUUAUAUAUUGGAAACUCUUGAAGGAGUUGAAUUUCCCAGAGCAUUAAAUGGAAAAUAUUUAAAAAAAUAUUACCCAAGCAUUUGGGUUGAUGCAUGAAAGUUUAAGUGCCGAUAACACUCCUAUCGGUUGGAUUAAGAUGUAUCUGGGACUGAGCAUGAUGUUUUAAAGGAUGCCGAUAACAAUCCUAUUGGCUAGACCAAAAUAAUCAGAAGUUUCUAAAGGCAGAACAAAACACGCCGCCGAUGAAGAGUUCAUACGUUCAGCAAGGCUUGGAUGGCCGAUAUGGCGCGUAGACGGAUUUGAUCGGCUUCUUCUAUCUCUCGGAUGUCUUCAUCGGCAGAGCCUUCUAUUGGCUUCCACUUCUUCUUCAUCUGCAGCGCCUUGUGGGCCUGAAUGUUUCAUUCUUGUUGGAGGGUCUUGAUUAUUUGGGGCAGCUGAAUUUCUUCUUGCUGAGCUUGAGAGAGAGCCUCUUCUACUUGCUUGAGCUCUGCCAGCAGGGCUUCCCUUUUUGCCGAUAGGUCAGAGAUCUUCUGCCUCAGUGUCUCCCCUGAGGAUUGUAGAAUGUCGAUGCUCUUGUGUUUCUCAUCGGCAAGGUGUUUCACUUGCAUUACUUCCUCUGAGAGCUAGAUGUGAGUGGCUCUAUCGGCAAGACGCAGGGUAGCCUUUUGAUACUGGAGCUGACGGCUUUCCAAGUGUGCAGCUUGGAAAAGAGUUUCCUCGGCAUCGGCUAGGAUUUGACCCCUAAGAGCUUUGAACAAAUCUUUGGCUGGAUCAGAGUCAUCGACCAGUUGAGCAGUGUCUUGGUGUAGCAGAGCCAGCAGAUCCUCUAGUUUUGCUCUGAUUUCUGCCGAUGAAAUCCCUAUCGCUUGAGAAGAGCUUGCUUCCUCGCCUUCGUCAUCAGAAAUUUUGAUGGCAAAAGAAAACAAGCUAUCCGGGGAGUCUUGUUCCUGAAGAAAAAAUAAGAUUAGUUAUUUGAUCAUUGGAUAUUAGUCAUAUAAGGAAUAGAAAUCAGAUAACUUACUUGUUUCAAGGCUAUUUCACGCCUCUGGCUAGUUGAUUGUUGAUAUUUGGGAACGCAAUAAGGAAUUGAUCCGCAAGCGCAUGGAUAUCGGUGAGCACUUCACCCGGGAAAUUAUCCAGAGUAUCGUAUUUAUUUUUUUACCACUAGGAGAAAGAGUGCAUCUGACUAACCGGUCUAUUACUACUAACCCUUUAGGCAACAAAGAAUGUCUCUCGAUGUGAGUGAUAAAUAGAGAAGACUGCAACCGUAGUCUUCUUCUAACCUUGGUAAGGAUGAUCUACUGUUCUAUUGGGGAGGCUAACGGAAUCUAGACACCACAAAGGAUGUUCCACCCGCACCUGUAAACCCUAUCCUUCCUGCUAACGAGAUAUGGUCUGCAAAGGUAACUCGGAAUUGUCACGUUCCUCACUACUACCACGGUCUAGCUAGUCAGGGAAUAUCUAUGAGUACCCCAACCUAAACACCACGUUUAUGCCAGCAAUGAUUACUCUAAACUCUACGCGAAGAGAUUAAAGUAAACUCAUAAACCAGAAGAACAAUAAAACAAGAAAUUACUAGAAUUUAGAAGUCGAAAUACUAAAGAAUCCUAGGAGCAAGCUUCGGGUUAGGAGAACUUGAUCCCGCAGGUACAAGCUUGGAGUAGACACCGACAGGCCGGGCUUCCUCCAAUCUACACCUCCACUCUAUCUCUCUCAAUCUAGUAGAAACUAGAAGAUCUAUUUCUACUUUACAUUGGUUGCUAAGCUUAAAAAGAAAUAUUAAUUAGAGAAGAGGUUUUCCUUCGAGGGCACUGUUGACGGUUCUUAAGUAUCAAUUUUAAUUAUUAAAUAAACAAGGGAAAGGACCAAUAUGCAACCAACACCUAGAAUUAGGGUUUGAUCUGACAGAAUUCCAUGAGUUUUGUUGUUUAUCUGUUUCUGCAGGGGGUUAUCAGGAAAUAAGGAAGAAAGGCCCACAUGUUGGGAUUACAUAGAGAUAUCAACGCACCGCGCGACUUUCUACCAUCUAGAAGACUCCAGAAGCCACAGGAAGAAGGCAGAGGCCGAAAGGGGCCAGGCCCAGGGCGCCCGCCCUGGUGACCUGGGCGCCCACCCCCUGCUGGAUGCCAAUCAGGACUCUCUUCCCACGGGAUGUUCCACCGACCUAUUGGAUCAAGGAAAACAUAGUACCACCACGC